CCUACGGGGUGCAGCAGUGAGGAAUAUUGGUCAAUGGACGAGAGUCUGAACCAGCCAAGUAGCGUGAAGGAUGACUGCCCUAUGGGUUGUAAACUUCUUUUAUAAAGGAAUAAAACGAGGCACGUGUGCCUUUUUGCAUGUACUUUAUGAAUAAGGAUCGGCUAACUCCGUGCCAGCAGCCGCGGUAAUACGGAGGAUCCGAGCGUUAUCCGGAUUUAUUGGGUUUAAAGGGAGCGUAGGUGGGUUGUUAAGUCAGUUGUGAAAGUCUGCGGCUCAACCGUAAAAUUGCAAUUGAUACUGGCAGUCUAGAGUACAGUUGAGGUAGGCGGAAUUCGUGGUGUAGCGGUGAAAUGCUUAGAUAUCACGAAGAACCCCGAUUGCGAAGGCAGCUUACUAAACUGUGACUGACAUUGAUGCUCGAAAGUGUGGGUAUCAAACAGGAUUAGAUACCCCAGUAGUC
rnacentral:rRNA from 1 species